GUAACAAAGCCCUGAGGAGGUUCAAAAGGUGGAAGGGUUUCCAAAUUGGAUCAAGUUUUCUACGGAGAUUGGUGGUGAUAGAUGAAUCCAAGUUCUCACACAAGAGAAAGAUAUUCUAAAACGGGUGGACAACAAUCUUUUAGGAUAUCCAACAUUGAGCCAACUGCUCCCGGGGAUAAAUGCUUUGGAUCAUCCAACAUCAGAUGUUAUAACUAUCCCUGAUGAGAUUUUGGAUGAGCAACUGGAGGACACCGAAUUUUACGAGAUAUCUAUAUGUCAAAUGUAUGUAUUUUUUAAUGAUAAAAUGUAUAACCGACACCAAAGGCCCUACACCACGAGCGGACAUGGUCGAGACGGAAGGGGUACCCCGGAACGUAACGAGUAAAACAAUGAAUUCGGAUCAUUUCCCCGCUUUAAAUGACUUUUCAGAGGUCGUUAAUUUGCAGUUGUUUGAAAUGGACAGACAACAUGAUGAGGACAACUCCGAGAUAGAAACAAUAUGCAGUCAAGAUAUUCUAAAACUGGAGGACCACGAUUUUUACGAUAUAUCUCUAUGUCAGUUGUACGUAUUUUUUAUGAUAAAAUGUUUUGUAUAUUUUGUAUAAAUAUAGGUGAAUAUUAUUGUAGAAAAGCCCAAGGACAUUGGUGGAAACGUCCUUUAAUUUGAGGCCUCGUACUCAGAGGUGCCAGGGGAUGCCUUAAUUAGGUCGGGUGGAAAUGUACGACCAAUCUCAUCCCAUAAAAUUAGGAAAUAGCUAUAGCCUGAACUCGCUGCUUUCUCUUCCUUAACUCCGACUAAUCCAGAAGCUCUGUGCGUCCAGGAAUCCACAGAAGUCCACCGACUCGAUUACCUUUCAUCUGAACUUUCUGUUGCGAUCGGGAGAGUGGGCCAUCAGGUAAUGUUUAGAGUUAUUACUGCAGAGUGCGGCUUGGAGCGCACGCUUCAAUUCUAACGUGAUUUGGUAAAUGAUCAAGACCCUAUGGAUCAUGACAGGCCAAAGUGAUAUGGUUAAUAUGUCAUGAAAUUACACGUACACGUGAAAACACUUGAAAGGGUGAAAUAUGAAGCGGCAUUGUUUGCGGAACUGAAUGAUUCCGAAAUCAAACUAAUGGGUAUUAUAGAUGGAAUAACCGAUCACUGUAUGUAUUAUUCUCCUCAUGAUUAUGAUAAAUAGUGACAAACAUUAAUUACUCAAGGAUGAUACCUAUUGACUUCUUAAUGGACCGGCAUGUGGAAUUCGCUAAGUAUGUUAAUAAUGAUUGUUAGGAUUUGAUCUUUGUGAUUAUGAAUUUGCUUGGAUACCGGUUUUGAAUUUGAUUGGGAUACCAGUUAUUCUGUUUCCUAUGUUAUGCAGCACAGACUACUCAGUAAAUAUAUACAGU